AGAAACUUUCACUCUCUCGAUUCAAAGUCGCUCUCAAACGUUCUAUAUUCGAUCAGAGUUUCGUCAUUCUUCUCCAACAGCAAUUUGAAAUGCAUUGCGGUUUGAUUUUCACGAGCAUUCAAGAAUCUUCAAAAACUCUCGUGAUUCUUCACUGACAGUUUUCAAAUUGAUUUCAGAAUCAAUUGAUUAUGUUGCAUUGCAAUGUUGGGCGGAACACCGACUGGGGCAGGAGGUUUUAUGAGGCAGAGACAUAGUCUGGGUUAUGCUAGUAGUGGUGAUGACUUGGAAGAUGAUGCAUGUUCGAGGCUGCGUAAUUUUCUGCCUCCGAGGAUGUGGGAUGAGAUGCUAGAAAAUUCUCUUUGGCUUGCUUGAGCUGGUUUUAUUCUAUACUAUGGUGAUCAGCAUUCCAAUUUCAUAUAUCUCAUGUGCCAUGGCGAUCGUAUUAGAAGAAUUCUGGUGAAAAGAAUUGCAACGGAUUGGAACAUAAAGCUAGCAUAUGAGAAUGAUCAAAGAAAAAGCGGAAAUUUAUCCGGAGAAACAACCUUCAAUUUUCUCUGCAUAGGAAAAAGAAUUCUGGCGAAAAGAAGUGCAUCGGAUUGGAACAUAAAGCAAGUGUCUUGGCGAGAAUUUUCUCCGAAGAACAACAUUCAGUUUUCUCUGCCAAAGAAACAACAUUCAAUUUUCUCUGCAUUGGAAAAAGGUACCCUUUUUUACACUCUUGAUAAUUCAAAAAUGUUAAGUCCUCUGCACGAAAAAACAGAACACUUUAAUUGAGGAAAUAUGCUAUGUCCCAAAACUCUAUUUGACACCAAUAUUAUGAAAGAUGAUUUUCCAUAUGAUCAAUUUCUUGACAAACCUCUAUGAAUGUUGGUCAAGAGAUGGUUCUACAGGUUGAAGUACCCAUUUUUCCCAUUUCUUUUAUCGUACAAGAACAUUCCAAUUUGGGAUAUUUUUUUCAAUUGCAACAUACUGGUUUAUCAUUGAUACCUUGUUCGGAGACCCAUUUUUUCAUUCUUGAUUAUUCAAGAAUAUUUAAUCUUCUACUUGAAAAAAAAAAACAGUGGUUUAAGAUUUUUGUGGGAUACUGAUUUUAUUAUUCUUCUAAUGGAUGAGAUGUCUUGAUGAUUCAAAUUUUCUGCAUGAAAAAGGUACCAUUUUUUACAUUCUUGAUGAUUCAAAAUUGUUCAAUCUUCUGCAAGAAAAAAGAAAACACUUACAUUGAGGAAACAUGCUAUGUCCCAAAACUCUGUUUGACACCAAUGUUUUGAAAGAUGAUUUAUUCAUACGAACAAUUUCAUGGCAAACCUCUAUGAAUGUUGGUCAAAAAAAGGUUCCACAUGUUGAAAUACCCAAUUUUCUCUUUUUUUUUUUUUAUUGUACAAGAAUAUUCAAUCUUCUGCAUGACAGAAAUGUGAUCCCCCCAAGACCC